CACGUAGGGCGCAAGCGUUGUCCGGAAUUAUUGGGCGUAAAGAGCUCGUAGGCGGACUGUCACGUCCGCUGUGAAAAGCUAGGGCUUAACCCUGGCCUUGCAGUGGAUACGGGCAGACUAGAGGUAGGUAGGGGAGAAUGGAAUUCCCGGUGUAGCGGUGAAAUGCGCAGAUAUCGGGAGGAACACCGGUGGCGAAGGCGGUUCUCUGGGCCUUACCUGACGCUCAUGCACGAAAGCGUGGGGAGCAAACAGG
rnacentral:rRNA from 1 species